rnacentral:lncRNA from 1 species
AAGAAGUCAGGCCGGAUUAAGCCAUAGUACGGUAAGAGCUAUGCUGCCUGUGAGCCCCGUCCAAGGACGUAAAAUGAAGUCAGGCCGAAAGCCACGGCUUGAGCAAACCGUGCUGCCUGUAGCUCCAUCGUGGGGAUGUAAAAACCUGGGAGGCUGCAACCCAUGGAAGCUGUACGCAUGGGGUAGCAGACUAGUGGUUAGAGGAGACCCCUCCCGAAACAUAACGCAGCAGCGGGGCCCAACACCAGGGGAAGCUGUACCCUGGUGGUAAGGACUAGAGGUUAGAGGAGACCCCCCGCAUAACAAUAAACAGCAUAUUGACG